rnacentral:lncRNA from 1 species
UGAAACCACUUGAUGCCAUAAUAGAAAAUGCAGACUACACAAACAGGCACGGCGUGCCUGUUUGGCCGCUAGUUAUUAUUAUUAUCAUCAUUAUUAUCUCUUUGGUUGAUUCAGUUUACUCUACACAAAGAGUUUUCAUUAGUGUAAUUUUCGACGAAUUCACAACUAACACAACACUAUUUUCAAAUAUGGUAAAAAUCUUACAUUAGGAUGUAUA